UGGGGAAUUUUGGACAAUGGGGGAAACCCUGAUCCAGCCAUCCCGCGUGUGCGAUGAAGGCCUUCGGGUUGUAAAGCACUUUUGGCAGGAAAGAAACGUCGCGGGUUAAUACCCCGCGAAACUGACGGUACCUGCAGAAUAAGCACCGGCUAACUACGUGCCAGCAGCCGCGGUAAUACGUAGGGUGCAAGCGUUAAUCGGAAUUACUGGGCGUAAAGCGUGCGCAGGCGGUUCGGAAAGAAAGAUGUGAAAUCCCAGAGCUUAACUUUGGAACUGCAUUUUUAACUACCGGGCUAGAGUGUGUCAGAGGGAGGUGGAAUUCCGCGUGUAGCAGUGAAAUGCGUAGAUAUGCGGAGGAACACCGAUGGCGAAGGCAGCCUCCUGGGAUAACACUGACGCUCAUGCACGAAAGCGUGGGGAGCAAACAGGAUUAGAUACCCUGGUAGUCCACGCCCUAAACGAUGUCAACUAGCUGUUGGGGCCUUCGGGCCUUGGUAGCGCAGCUAACGCAUGAAGUUGACCGCCUGGGGAGUACGGUCGCAAGAUU
rnacentral:rRNA from 1 species